rnacentral:rRNA from 1 species
UACGAAGGGGGCUAGCGUUGUUCGGAAUUACUGGGCGUAAAGGGCGCGUAGGCGGUUGCUCAAGUCAGGCGUGAAAGCCCCGGGCUCAACCUGGGAAUAGCGCUUGAGACUGGGCGGCUUGAGUUCGGGAGAGGUGAGUGGAAUUCCCAGUGUAGAGGUGAAAUUCGUAGAUAUUGGGAAGAACACCGGUGGCGAAGGCGGCUCACUGGACCGACACUGACGCUGAGGCGCGAAAGCGUGGGGAGCAAACAGG